rnacentral:lncRNA from 1 species
GAUUAGGUUUUCGGAGAUGGACAUAUUUUUGAUCUAUUGAGACAUAUGAGUUUUUAAGUAUUAUUUUCUUAAAUUGAUAUUAUAGUGCUUCUUCACUUAUUGUUUUAUGCAUUGCCUUGUAUGUGUUUGACGAGCGUAUAGAUUGAACAUUGGCUUGUAAGAAUUAUUGACCCUAACUAUGUAUGCAUGCCUUCUAUAACUCUAUGUGUUGACUUAGUAAUUGAUUUAGGGGUGAACGAUUAUAAGUUGUGAUUUGUGAACUAAC